rnacentral:rRNA from 1 species
GGUAAACGCUGGCGGCGCACAUAAGACAAUGCAAGUCGAACGGACUUAACCAUUAGUUUACUAUUGGAGCGGUUAGUGGCGGACUGGUGAGUAACACGUAAGCAACCUGCCUUUCAGUGGGGGACAACAGUUGGAAACGACUGCUAAUACCGCAUGACGCUUCUUAGGGGCAUCCCUGAGAAGUCAAAGCUUUAUGUGCUGAAAGAUGGCCUCGCGUCUGAUUAGCUAGUUGGUGGGGUAACGGCCCACCAAGGCGACGAUCAGUAGCCGGUCUGAGAGGAUGAACGGCCACAUUGGGACUGAGAUACGGCCCAG